AACCCACUCCAGUGUUCUUGCCUGGAGAAUCCCAGGGACGGGGGAGCCUGGUGGGCUGCCGUCUAUGGGGUCGCACAGAGUCGGACACGACUGAAGCGACUUAGCAGCAGCAGCAGCAUCUCUAGUACUGAAACCCAUGGGUAACCUUCCCAUAAAGAAGAAGGGUUUUAGUAAUACUUUACUCAAAGAAACAAUUUAUUCCUUAAAUUAUGUUUUUUCCUAGUGACUAACACUGAUUCUGAGGCAUAAAGAGAAUAAUUUAUUGUACAGAAAACUGCCAAUGUAUAUAAUGCCAAAAAAUUGUACUGGAACAUUAAACAUGGUUAGCAUUUUCAAGGGCUUCCCUGGUGGCUCAGUCAGUAAAGAUCUGCCUGCAAUGCAGGAGACCUAGGUUCGAUCCCUGGGUUGGGAAGAUCCCCUGGAGGAGGGCAUGGCAACCCACUCCAGUAUUCUUGCCUGGAGAAUUCCCAUGGACAGAGGAGCCUGGUGGCCUGCAGAACGUGGGGUCUCAAAGAGUCGGACACAACUGAGCAACUAAGCACAGCACAGCAUUCUCAAAACACUAAUAGAUAAUGAGGAAUAAAUAAUCUAGACAGUCUCUUGUGGGAAGGGAAACUACUCUGUCAUUUUACUUCAACAGUUUAUUAGAGGAGGUGGAAAAUAGCUAGAUUUACAAAUAGUGAGACCUGGAAAUAAUAUUCCAAGUUAUAGAGUCCAAUAGGCUGUUGCAUUAUUUCAGGUAAAUGUUCAAAAAUCAACUUCAUAGGGCAGCACUGAUGAUAUUUACUGACCUCAGGGGGGGAAAAGUCAACAAGUGACUUACUCGAUUUAAGAGAAGAAAAAUUAUAUUUUAUGUUACAAUUAAGUAAGUAGGGUAGGAUGAUAAUUUUAUAUAGAAAACCAUAUAAAUUUACACAUAUCUCCGCAUAUAAAUACAACAUGUGUACACAGACACAUGACAUAAACCUAUGGUUUUGUAUUAUGAGCAUACCAGAUUCCAGCUGAUUUCUACAUACUCAAAUCUAGGAAACUUGAGGUUUAGGGAAAUCCACAUUCAAAAGACAUGAAUCUUUUCCCAGAUUCUUUGGUUCUAAGAUAAACACAGUGGCAUAAAGUGUGAGAAAAACAUGUAAGUACAGCAAUGAAAAGAACUGGCAUGAUAAUCAGUGUUCUAAAAUAAUGUACUGAAAAAGCCCUAAAAGUGAAUAUUAGCUCCUUUAGUCAGCUUCUAGGGAUAAGAAUUUUACUUGGCUUGUUCUGACUACAGUUAACUUUUAUAAAUUGAAAUGCAAAUUUAUCUAGUUUGGUCAUUUUUUGCAACUAAGAAAACAACUUCAGACUUUCUGAUGCAAAUAAAUCACAGGUAGCCUUACAGAGAAGCAGAUAUUGCACAAGGAACAGCUGUAUGAUACAUAGGACUAUCUUGGGGUUUUCAAAGAGAUUCAAAUGUGAUAACAGUGGAAUACAUAUACUAACGUGAAUAUUGUAUAGCCAAUAUUUUCACUCUACGUUUCAUGAAAUUAUCGUGCUUCAUGUGUUAAAGUAAUACAGGUUAUCUUGUCAUUUUUGAGUGCCAGCAAUAAACAUCUUCCUCUUCCCUGUUCCAGGUUUGAGAUCAGAAGCAGAAGAGUAGAGUUAAAGGAAAAGUCAUGUAAUCAUAAAGAUAACAUGAAAGGUCACCAUUGAGAUUGGGGCUAAUUCCCCAGAAGUAGACCUAACCCACAUCAGUUAUCCUCAGGAUGUUGAUAAGCUCAUUUUUUGUGUUUGGUUAGCCUCAAGGGUGUCUCACCUAUAAUGUUUGGCCAAUGGGAUAUGUACCAUACCAAUAAUAUAUGACUUCUCAGCCAACUGCUAAUAUUUUAGAGAAAAGGAAUGAUACCAGGGAUUAAGUGGAUAAUAUAUCAUGGAACCCACAAUUUUUUAAAACAGAGGUUUCUUGUUCUUUUACACAUAGGGGAGAAAAGGAAACUGCAUCUGUGCCAAACAUUCAGACAUGUAAGUUUCCUAAACUGCUGCUCUGCACUUGAAAACAAACUCCCAUCUUUUUAAUGGGUAGCAGGGCCAAAAUUCAGUCUCUCUAAAACCAGGCAUUUAACAUCCCAUUUUAAGUGAUUUUCAGUUCCUUCCAUUCUGAGUUUACAAACUCUCUUCACUAGCUGUGAUGUCAGUAUUCCUGUUAAAAAUUGAUGCAAUGUAAUUUUUUUUAACUUUAUAAACAUAUUUACAGAGCUUUUUUCUUAUACUCAAUGUUUAACUGCUCACCAUUUCAAACUUAAGAGAAAAGGAAAAGCGGCAUCACAGAGGCAGUAGAUAAGUAGCUUCUAAGGGCUUACACAACUUGUUCUUCAAGGCCUUAUUUUACAUAGGCGCAGGAGCUAGGAAAUCCCUUAAUUCGUGGUUAUUGGCUGCUCUCAUGCAUAGCGUUUUAUUUACUGUGUCAGCCAUAAAGUUUGUUCAGGUUUUCAUACCAUAUUACAGAAAAAUCAAAAUGAACUUUUUGCCCAACACAAUGUUAUACUCAUUGACAAAUGUAGGAAUCCAAAAUUCAAGGCUCUUAGUAACUUCAGAUUGUAGAUACCCUUUGCCCAUGUAUCUAUCAGAUACCUUUUCAUCAAAUUUAAUUUUCCAUUUUUUAAAAUUUAAGAAUAGUUUGGGGACACAAAAAGCACAUAGUUCAAAUAAUGCAUUUAAUCAUUUAACAUAUAUUUUCUUCUAGGCACUGGGAUACAUAAGGGAACAAAUCUGAACAAGGUUCCCUCCCUUUUUGCUGCUCCAAUUCUCACUGGUGGAAUACAAUAAACAGCAUAAUUGAGUAAAUUAUAUGAUAAAGCUGAAUAGGAUAACGGAAAUGGUGGGGGGUACAGACUAGGUUGCAGUAUUAAAUAGCAUAGUAACAGUAGGCUCUGGUAUUUGAGCAAAAAUUUGAAGGAGGUGGGGUUAACCCUCCAGAUACCAGAGAAGAGCAUCAAGCAGAGGGAAAAGCCAGUGUAAAAUCCCUUCAACAGAAUCAUGCCUAGAGUAUGAAGUGCAAGAGGGUUAAAUAAAGCAGAAGGUUUGGAGGAGAAAAGGAAUAGGAAAUGAGGCAGAGAAGUAAUGAGAUACAAGAGUCGUAGGCUAUUACAAAUAUUUUGGCUUCUAUCCUGAGAAAAUGAAAAGCCACUGUAGACUUUUGAGCAUGAUCUGAUCUAUUUUUCCAGGAUUACUCUGGACCAAAGGCAGAUGUGGAGACACCUGUUGGCGGCUUGCUCAGGAACCUAGACAGAGAGGGAGGCUCGGACCACAGGGGUGGCACCAGAGAGGAUUAGAAGCUGUCUCCUCCUGGAUGUGUUCUGCAGCUUCGAAGAGGGGGAAGAUGACCCUUAACAUGUGAAGAUGUUGGGGAAAAAAAAAGAGAUGAACCUAUGUUCCAGCCUAUGUUCUCAAGAUAAAUAUAACCCCUCCAGUGAUGAUCUUACAGGAACACCAUGAUUACCAGGUUACUGGAUCUUCUAAUCUCAAUAAUGGAAAACCACAGGGCAUAUAUCUGGAGAAAACCGUAUUUCAAAACGAUACACGCCACUCGAGUGUUUGUUGCAGCACUAUUUACAUAGCCAGGACAUGGAAGCAACCUAAAUGUCUAUCAACAGAGAAAUGGAUAAAGAAGAUGUGAGGCAGCAUUCUCCAAAAUGUAUUUUGACUAACAGAGGUUACUUAAAAAACAGGUUCUGGGGCCAGUUAAAUUUAAGAAAUUCUUGGAAGAAGAAUAAUCCUGCCCAAAUGGGGAGUAUAAAUAAACCAGCUGAAUUUUUACAGACUUUUAAUAGCUGCUGAUAUCAAAGAGCAAUUCCAUACCCACCUGCCAGUUCUCUCCUACAGAGCUUACACCUAGUGUACAACCAUCACACCUGACAGGCAGAAGACAGAACAAAAGGGCCUCAGAUCCUUCUGAAUCACCUAGGCCUUGCUGAGUGCAAAGCAGCUAUCCACUGAAGGCUGGAAGCAGAACAGAGCUGAGAGCCCCCGAGAACCACUGAGCCUUCACCAAAUGAAAAGGAGGAUGAAGAGAGAGCUGAAAAGACAAGGUAGAGUUCAACAGCAAAGUUAACUCCUGAACUACCCCAAUAGUUAACAGCUGGGCCAUUUUUGUCUCAGAAAAAUGGAAUAUGGAAAACUACAACCCAAAAGAAGGCAGGAAAAGAGAAACAAAAGGACGAACAAAUGGGGUAAACAAAUUCCAAGAUGGCAAAUUAAACCCAAACAUUAUCAAUCAGUUCAGUUCACUUCAGUCCAGUCGCUCAGUCGUGUCUGACUCUUUGCGACCCCAUGAAUUGCAGCACGCCAGGCCUCCCUGUCCAUCACCAACUCCCGGAGCUCACUCAGACCCACG